UGAAAUAGUCUAUUUUCCCCUCCCGUGCUCGGUUUCUCCUUCUCCCUGAGCUUCUUCUUCUCCACGCCGCUACCUGCUUUUCCCCGUCCCAAAUCCUAGGGUUUACCCAAGGCAAGGACACGACACGCCGCCAGCGUGCCCCGCCCUCAUCUGGUCAAGGGCGCGGCGGAGCAGGACUCCGGCACGUUCGGUGACCGGCUGGACUUCUGCAAGGCGAACCUGUUCACGGGGCGGGGCGCGGCGCGGAGGGCGGGGAGGAGUGCGAGGAGCCGUCGGUGGCGCAGGAGAGGAUCAUGCACCGGAUCAACUCCAAGAUGGCGCACAAGUCGUACCAGCUGGGGCAGCAGCUAUCGUUGCGGUGGACGACCGGCGUCGGGCCGCGGAUCGGGUGCGUGCGUGACUACCCGCCGGAGCUGCAGUUCCGGUUGCUGGAGGAUUCAGGCUUUGAAAUUGUGCCAAGUACAUUUGCGUUCGGUGGAGGAUUCGGGCUUUGAAAUUGUGCCAAAAACAGACACAGAAACAGAAUUUGAGCAACACUGACUGUCUGCUGUAAUCUAUAUACAACAGAAUUUGUACUGCAUCCUUAGUUUAGCGCAUCCCUCGCACCACGAGGAAAAUAUCAUGGAAUUGACAAGAGCAAGGCAGGAGAUAUGCUGGGAGCCAAAAUCAAUAGCGCCCAGACUGCAUGCAGAUAUAUAUAGCCUCAACAAGAUGAAUUGUGAGAUCGAGCUCCUUCAGUUUCAGCAUAAGCCCCCGCAUAAAUCAUCACCUUUGGAGCAGUGCUUAGUCCCAAACCAUUAAGAUUCUGUAACGGCUGAAAUUCUCCAAGCUCUGAAUCUCUGACGAUGAUGGGAUCCAGACACCCUGAAGAAACUACAUCCAGUUCAGUACAGUCAGGGGGUCUUCCAACCGUGUGUUUCUUCAUGGCAAGGUUUGCUAUUUGUUGUGUAUCAGUCCCAGCAAGUUGUAGUUUGGUUAUUCUUGUUCUUCAUUGUUAGUGAAGAAAAAUGACAAUGUAGUCCCAGGUCUGUGUACGUGAGGUUUUCAUGGUCCUUGAGCUGUUGUUACAUGCAGGGCCGUGCUUGCCAAGAAUCGAAACCGAUCCUCCUUGAAGAUGGUCCGGCCUCCAGUUCAUCUAUCGAAGGAUAGUAAUACUACUACUGCUGCAACUAUCUUGUUGUAUCGCUCUGCUUCCAUAUGCAAAACAAUGCAUUAACCUGUUCUUUUUUUUUUGCGGGAAAAAUAAUGCGUUGAUCAAUGUAUUCUCCAUUCCUGAUUGUCAUAUGUUUCGAAUUCAUAAGAUUAGCUAUAUGAAAGCCAUGGUGCAUAUAAUGUUUGUUUCAUUUCUUAGCGCAGUAGCUCUGGUAUGAAAGACUGACGAACAUGGGUGAAUAAGCUGGGAGGAACGGACAGCACAGGUAACAGUCCAAUCCCCUCUUAUAUUGUGGAGAAUUUUCAAUUCGUCUGACGUUUAGUUGAAUGAUUUGUCAAACUUUCAUUUGCUCAUUUGUUCUGUCUUUGUUUUUAUCUCUAUCGAGCAUGAUGUCCAACUUUUGUUGUCGUGGGGGCUUCUUGUAUGCAAGUAAGAGCAUGAUUUUGGAUCAUAGUGUUGAUUGGAUUGUGGAAAUUAUAGGAUGAUAAUAUUGUGUUGUUUUGAUCUGACCCUCGUGAGGGAUUAUAUAGAGUACAUGGUGGGGUAGAGACUUGGAGUACAAGACAAGACAAUUACCAAUUCUAUCUCUAACUCAAGCACAUUAUACUUCUAACAUUCCCCCCAAGCCGUAGUGCGAGUGAAGCGGACGAUUGCGACUGAAUUUGAAGUCUUGUCCUUUUUGCGCCAAUAUAUGCUGUUAAGAGGCACCCAUCUUGCUAAUUGGUGUGUCAAAUUUUACAUGGACAGUAUAGUUGUGUGAUUAUUGAGUGGUCCAGUGAGUAGUGUUGCUAUAUGCAAAGGAAUGAUAGAAUGAUGAGUUUGUAAAGUGAGUAAGGGCAUAUCAAUAAUUCAACCCGGAACCCGGGCUCAGAUGAACCCGGUGAACAGUACCACAAUUUACAAUAGAAACAAAGUUCACAAAAUUCGAAAUAUUUUUGUGGUGCACGAUGCUCCUGUGCGCGAACUCCAUGAUUUUUUUUGUGAAGUUUGGAUAUUCGAGGAGGUCGUGGCAAAAAAGACAAAAUCAGGCGUGAACAAUGUGAUUUCCAAAAGUUUCUCAGACAUUCGAGGCGUGAACAGUGUGAUUUUCAAAAAAGACAAAUUUCGGAUGUCCGAGAAACUUUUGAAAAUCGCACUAUUCAUACCUGAUCUUUUCUUUUUUGCCAUGAGCUCCUCGAAUAUCCAAACUUCACAAAAUUUUGCACAGUGUUCACGUACAGGAGCAUCUUACACCACAAAAUUGUUUUGGAAUUUUUAAAACUUCUUUCUAUUUUAAAUUGCCGUACUGUUCAGGCCCGGGCUCAUCUGAGCCCGGGAGCCAAAUCGCUGCUCUCCAUAUCGAUAGACUCAGUGCUCUACCUUCUGACAUAUAUAAGAAUGUGCGGAGUGUACUACUUAUGGAUGUAAAAAGGAAGUUUUCCUGAUACAUCCAUGUAAUGGUGGAUCGAUCGUAUGCUUAAUAAAGGUAAAAAUAUUUGUCUGGUUUUCCGCUCAUAGGUUGGUCAACUUUUUCUGGUGCCUUGGAUCUUUAUCCAAUUGGCAGGUAGUAUCUUUUAAUCAUCAUUAUUGAACAUAUAUAUGUUAGUUUGACUGAAUAUACUUGCACAAUACGUACUAAGUAGCCGUUUCUAUUCAACUAUAAUGUUUCACUAACAUGUUAAGCAACUGAUACAACUGACCCUGAGAUCCGAGAUCUAUUUUUUGUACUCAUCAGCACGAUAAUCUUUGGUGACCAAGAAUGAAAUUUGGAAUCAGACCUUUUUUUGGCAUUACAACAUAUGACACGGAAGGACAGCCUUUUCAUCCUCCACCAGUCGCCUACAGUAUUUUAUUUGUCAUCAACCAUUUCUAUGUUUAAUUCUCAUUUAUUGUGAAAUGAUUUAUUUGAGCACUUUAGCGAGCUACUCUUUGUUUUUGCAUUCAGUGACAAUGGGUAGGUGCAACCUUCGGAGAAAAGUGUGUCAAGGCAGCAAUUAUAGUUGGUAACAUGAGCUGCCCCAGUCGCAUGGCAGUGUUCUGGCCAAGAUGGUACGACACAUAGUUGCUCGCCCAAUGAAGGGAAUGUUGAUCUGGGGAUUGUUUACUGUACAAUAAUAAUUGUACAUAGCUUCUGUCAAAUAAUCGACCACUCAGUUUGAUGCUGAUGAAUCUGAAUCACAACUUCUGUUGAAUUCCGGUCGUUAGAGAUACAGCAAGAAUUUCGAUUUGGCAGGUCCCUCACGGAGACACUGGAGGAGAUGGUGUGCUCAACCUGAGUUCGCCUUCAGCAUCCUCCUAUAGUUUGACAAGUCCAUGAGUGCCACGCCUACAGCCCCAGGUCAAGAGCAAUGCCUUCUUCAAGGUGCCAACCAAAAUGACACCUCUCCACACAUUUAUCACUGUAUUGUACAGAGAACCAAGUGCCCUGACCUACGCUAUAAAGAGAUCAUGUGAAAACAAAGCUGAAGUUGUUGCUCGGGAUGAGAAGGAAAGUGAUCUUUGAGCAACACUAGAUCUAGACCAAGAACCACUGGCUGACUUAGAACACGAGUUAGUCGAUUGUUGUGAUAACAGUAAGGGUUGAGAGUGAGCGGGGAGAAGGUUAGAGUUUGUCUGUUCAGUUACAGUUCUGAGCAGAAUAAUUUUUCUAUUUUAGAAAAUGUGGCAAAUUGCAUUUCAUCAGAGAUGGCUUUGCUGUAAAUUGCAUGAUUGAGAGGUUUUUAUAUAUUUUUCAUCAAGUCGUACAA